GAAUUUAUAGAAACAAUAGUAAAUUGUAGCUUUUUAGCGAAGAAAUGAGUUCUUCAGCAGAUUAGUUUUCAGUAAAUAUUUGAGUCAGUAUGAUUUACUGUAUUUAAUCAGCUGAGACAUGUUUUAAGUCUUUAAGUCAAAUUUUUCACAAGUGCUUCACAAUAAGAUACAAUAAUUACCUAAUGACUAAAACUAUCUCAGAAAAGGAAAUAUAUCAUCAUCUUAAAUAAGUUAAAAUUUUAAACAAUUAUAACAUGAACAUGGAAGGAAAUUUGUUCCUUUCAGAGGCAUGUAUUAAUGUGUAGAUAAAGAUCUGGCCCAGCAUCACUCUUAUCUAUACUAAUUUGAGAUUCUUGAAUAAUUGAUUUCUUUAGUUUUUCUAUUAAAAAAGGCUCCACUUCCUAUAUUUCAUUCCUUCAAUUCAUGUAUUGAAGUAAUAAAGUAAAAGUAUUACAAUUAAAUUUAUUUGAAAAUACUCUUUAUAUUCACAAAGAUGUUUCUUUAAUGAUAUAAAUCAACAACCAUAACAAAUCCAGUUUUUAUUGCAUUCCGUUCGUAUAAGAGACUGUUAACAAUAGGUGCUUUUCUUUAACUGUAUUUUCUAAUAUGAAGCACUUUCACUUUGCAACCUUGGGGGAGAAGUACAUUACCAUUCUUGGUUUUAAUAUUUAGCCGUAAGCAGCUUUUAUGCCCUUAGACUUCUACUAAUGUUGAACUUGACUUAACUUCACAGUUUCUGUGGCUAUGGUAUAUUUGGACCCAUCCUCACCUAACAGAUAUUAUCUUACCAUUUAAGCUUACCUCAUUUAACAUUUUCUAACUCUUUGCUACCAGCUUGUCUCCUAUUCUUACCUCUACCCUAAAUUUAUUCACAGAGAUCAACAAACCUUUUUCUUUAAAGAACCAAAUAGUAAAUUUGUUAGCCUUUGUGGACCAUAAACCUUCUCUUUAUUUAUAGGAAUAGCCAUAGAUAAUGGGCAAAUGAAUGCGACUGGUGUGUCCAAUAAAAUGUAUUGGCAAAGACAGUACACUUGAUUUACUUCAGGGGCCUUGUCUUGGAUAUUGGCAUGAAACAUUUCUUUGUGUAUUUUCAUUUAUGAAUAUAUAUAUGUAUUUCUUUCUGAAUAUCUAUUAUGAAUUUUUAAACUAAGGUAAUCAUUGCCCAAACAUAUCAAAUAUAGGAGUUUCUAUUUUAUCUUGAAGAUACUCAGUUGUCUAUUUUAGCUCAGUGUUAGUCACUCAGUUGUGUCUGAGUCCUUGCAAUCCCACAGUCUGCAGCCCACCAGGCUUCUCUGUCUGUGGAAUUCUCCAGGCAAGAAUACAGGAGUGGGUAGCCAUUGCCUUCUCCAGGGGAUCUUCCUGAUACAGGGAUCAAACCCAGGUCUUCUGCAUUGCAGGCAGAUUCUUUACCAUCUGAGCCAGCAGGGAAGCCCUAUUUUACCACAGGCGAAGAGUGAAAAAGCUUGUAAGAUUGAUGGAGAAUGAUAAAUAUUGGGUUGGCCAAAAAGUUCUUUCAGGUUUUUCCAUAACAAACUUUGGCCAGUUCAAUACUUUGUCCCUAAUUCUAUAGUGAAUAUCCACCUUUGUGUCAACCAAGAUGCAUUCUCUUUGUUAACUGAAGAAUUCUUCAAAUGGUAUGUAAACCACACUACGAUGCUGAUGACACCACAUGUUUAUUAAGUUCAUACCCUUCUCGAGACACAGUCCUAGAAACUGUAUGUUCGUCCUCAUAACACAUCUCUGAGGUCUGUACUCUGGGAUCUGUUUCAUGAAUUGGGAGACUUAGAGCUUUGGUCAGUUACCCAAGGACACAAAGCUGGGAACUGCAGAAAUAACACUAAGACUGGCUGUCUUUGACACCAAAACCCAUGCUCAUCUAUGUUAACUUUUAGCCACUGUUUGUGUUUCCCCUUUCUACUAUAAAACCAAGAAUGUGUGAUACAGAAGAAGUUGGAGAACUCUAUCUUUGUAGUAUAGACAUGAAAAUUUUCCUUUAUUUCCCUUUUCUCUGUCCAGAAUGGCCCUUAAUUUAAAUCAUAAUUGCGUGUUUCAAAGCUGUUGGCAAAUGGUUUUCAUAAAGUUUUAAAAUUUGGUGUUUUCUUAGUAUAGCUAUUUAAUUCAUAAGCUUCAAAUUUGGAAGUAUAAAGAUGUAAUAGUUGAUAAUACCUGCAUAGCCUCCCAAACUAGUCAAAUCAGACUAAAUCAGAUUUAGUCAUUUGUUAUUAAUUUCAGGUCAAAUUAAGGAUUUUUUCCCCUCUUCUGUUCCACCUUAAGUAAAGUACCAGAGUGCCUUAGUCCAGAAUUCCUCAGAAAUGAGUGUGUGAACAAAACAAAUUAAUGAUUAGCCUAGAGUUUAGUCUCAGGAUGGUGCAAAUGAAGGGAAAAAGUAAAAGUGAAACAUGCAAGGAAAUAAGCAAAAAAAAGAAAAAGUUGGUAGAUUACAGAACUGGCUGCAGUUUGAGAAAUAAACACAGGUAUACAUGCAUGGUCAGUCACUCAGUUGUGUCCAACUCUUUUCGAUUCCAUGGACUGUAGCCUGCCAGGCUCCUCUGUUCACGGGGUUAUCCAGGAAAGAAUACUGGAGUGGGUCCUAUACUGGCAGGCAGAUUCUUUACCACUGAGCCACCUGGGAGGUCGGAACACAGAUGACUCCCUCCUGUUGGUCAAAGUUCUGCCUACCCUUCUGGGUUUUAUCAAAUAGGAUCUCUAGGCAACCUUUGGGAAAUCUUCAUUCUAUACCCAGUGAACAGUAUUCCACUGAGUCUUGAAGGCAAGAGGUAGACUGUCUGUGAUCUGAUGGCAUUAGGCUUGGAGGCCAGAGAUGCUGGAAGCUCCUUUUGAUAUGGCUAUGAUGGUGGCUGUGCUGUAAUCAGCCCUCAUGUGGAGUGAGGAGAGGAGUGAUGUUGAUGAAUGAUGCCUUGAUGGUUGUGCACACAGCUCUGCAUUUUAGUAAAUGGCUAAAGACCAAGGAGCCUUGUAGGGCUCAGUCAAUCUCAUGGGGAACAUAAGCCAAAUCCAGUAAAUAGGGCUUUCCAUGUGCUGUGUUACCAUUCGCAGGAAGUGGCCAAACUCCUUUUUAGACUUGACUCGUCUUUUUUUUUCUGAUUGAUUUUCCUGAGAGUACAAUCAUCUGCUCACGUCCUACCAUGGUGUCUGAGGAAAUGGUGCCUGUUGUCAUUUCUUAUUCAUUUUGACCUUGGGGAAUAUUUGGAUUUCUAACUUACUCUCUCAACAGAUGUUUCCUACCUCCUCAGAGGAGGAAAAGUCUUUAUGGUCUCCCCAAGUUGCUCUGGAUCCCUGGGAGAUGAUUCAUAUGUACAUCAAAACACUGGUGGAGGGUGGAUCUGAAUCACUCUGCCUCUGUAAUUGUGAGAAUAAUAUGAGCCACAAUUGUCCUCUACCCUUAAAACUCCACUGGAUUCUAUACUCUCCAUACUUAGGACCUGAGGAGUAGGCAAGGCAGGAGUCUAUUAUCAUAGUAACAUCUAUCUUUUAUUUUUAAUAUCAAACUUCCCUCCUCAGUUAAGAGAAUCACUUUACUAGAUUUGGCUGGUGGGGUUUGGGGUGGGGAUAUAGCCAGACUUCCCUCUAAUUUUUUCCUGUCAUGAGGUGACAGGAAAAUAUUUAACAACCAAAUAUUUGAAAUUACCUUUUUUUCUCCUCAAUGAACUAUAAUAUGCUUUCUCCCAUUUGGACAGUGCUGUAUUCCACUUUCUGGAAUGAGAGAUCAUGAGGAAAUACUAAGGUAAUGAAAGUUGAGGGAGAUAAUGAAUAGUUGAGAUAUGCAUAUCGUCUCACCACUUGUGAAUGUGAAUUGAGGAGUAAGGCACAUGGGAGUGGAGUCCACUUCUCUGAAAAUCAAGCCUUGAGGAGCCAGGUCAGGGCUAAUAUCUUUAUAGGAAUGCAUCAGUGUUCCGGGAAGAAUCUACCCCCUGGCAAUGACCUUGACUUCCUCUGUCUUAAAGUUCAUAAAAGACACUAUCAUUAAACCACAUAUAAGUCCCUCCAUAGGGAGAUGUGUUCGGUCUUGAUCCUUGCUUCCAUCCAGCAUGCAAGGCCUCCUGGGUCUGAGGCAUUGGUGCUAGAAUAGUGGCAUUUUUUUCUUCAUUUCUGCCUUGAAGUACUACACUCCUUUGGCUCCUUAUACUGAAAUUCAUUCCCUUAGCACAAAGCCAUCACCAGGCAUCACUCAACAAACUUUCAGAAAUAAGCAUGAGCUGAUUUCUGGGUUUGGAAUCUACCAGCACUGUUAUCAAAAGAAAUCAUUUACAUUUUCUGCACGUCUGAACUUUGCCUGCUUUGGAGAAUGGCAGGGAAGGAAAGCUAAUACAAUUUGAUAAAAUGGCUAAAAUGAGUCUAUUUGCAGUCUUGCAGCUUUUAGAGCUGAGAAUUUAAAUAUAGCCACAUAGUCACCCAUAAAUGUAAAUGUAUGUGUAUUUGGGUAGAGAACAGGAGCUGAGAGUCAUUUUUAGACUUGAGGUUCAAUUUUCCUGUUGGAAUAAAUAUUGAAGCUUAGGUUGACUGCAUUUAAAAUUCUAUCAAUUGUUGGACUGGCUUCUUUUUUUUUUUCCUUUUGCUGGAUUUUUAAUCCAAAGGAUGUGAAUGUCUGUUUUUUUUUUUCCUCCCCUUUCUUCCUCCUCAGCCUUUUCAGCAUUGUUCCCCAUCCUGCUUUUGCAGCUCCCUUCAUGAAAUGGCACUGAACCCCGGUGUCAGCAUCAUUGUUCUACAAUAAGGGAGCCCACAUCUCUGACUGUUUCCACGCUGCUCGUGCCCAUGCUAGAAAUACCAAAAGAAUGGCAGAGAUGGAGAUGCCUCCCAUUUAUAUUCAUUUGGUAUUUGAUUCUAGUGCUGAAUGUGAGUGGGUCUUGGGUUUUAUUUCCAAGUCAAUAGUGAACUCAAAUGUCACCCAUUUUAGAGGGGACAUUUUAAGUAAGCAUUACCUUUCUUGUCUUUUCAACAUUAAAUCCAAACACGUUGGCAUAUGCAAGUGCAAGCUGUAAAUGAAACCGCGUGCAAGACUUUCUGAAGGACAUGGGAUAGACGACGCAGAUCCCAGCCUCCCAAGGUGUCAGCGUGCAAGACUUUCUGAAGGACAUGGGAUAGACGACGCAGAUCCCAGCCUCCCAAGGUGUCGGCGUGCAAGACUUUCUGAAGGACAUGGGAUAGACGACGCAGAUCCCAGCCUCCCGAGGUGUCGGCGUGCAAGACUUUCUGAAGGACAUGGGAUAGACGACGCAGAUCCCAGCCUCCCAAGGUGUCGGCGUGCAAGACUUUCUGAAGGACAUGGGAUAGACGACGCAGAUCCCAGCCUCCCGAGGUGUUGGCGUGCAAGACUUUCUGAAGGACAUGGGAUAGACGACGCAGAUCCCAGCCUCCCAAGGUGUCAUGAACGUAUUUGAUGAGGCAAGACAGCUGUCCUCCUCAAUUCGUAAAUAACUCAAAGAUUAAAAAAACUGAUGAAGAAAUUAAUUCCCUUGGUUUCCUCCUCUGGAAAACCAACACUGUAAUGGUUUCUAAGAGUUGUUGUGCCAAUGAAAUGAAUUAAAUAUUUGAUCAGGACCUACAAUAAUGUAAUUGCUGAGUAAUUUUUAUGUGUGUGUGUAUAUAUGUGUGCAUGCAUGUGUGUCCAUACCUAUACACACACAUCUAAUGUAUUUUCACAAUUGUAAAAUGUAAUUUUAUAUUCUAUAUAACUAGUAUGUGUGUGUACACAUUAAAAGAUAUUUAUUAUAUGUCAUUGACAAUUUUGUGUUAGUUUCUAAUGUAUAGCAAGGUGAUUCAAACCUAUGUCUUCAUAUAUCUAUUUAUAUUAUUUUUCAGCUUCUUUUCCAUCACAGGAUUCCUGGGUCAGGAAGAUCCACUGCAGAAGGGAAAGGCUACCCGCUCCAGGUUUCUGGCCUGGAGAACUCGUAAAGAGUCAGACGUGACUGAGCGACUUUCACUUUCACAUUGAAUACAGUUUCUGCGCUAUAUUGUAUGACCUUGUUGUUUAUUUUAUAUAUGGUAGUGUGUAUCUGUUCAUUCCAGGUCCUCUUUUAUCCUUCCUCCCUUCCCUUUUGGUAACUGCAGUUUGUUUACUAUGUAUUAGACACACAUAUUUUUAAUUCAAGAUAUCUUACCAGAUCACAUACACUUGAGUCAAAUUGUAUUGAUAACUAGGACUUCAGAAGGGAAGGAGGCAGUGGUCUUUGAGGCUGCAGUUUUGCAAGUUUCCUGGAGGUAAUAGGAAUUUAAUUGGCACAUUAGGAAUGGUUUCCAGUAAGGAGGGGCAGCAAAAAGCCUUGUCAGUGGACAUUCUAGGUGAUAGUACAUCGUUUCUUUCUGUGUCAUCUGUUACUUGAUGUCAUCUGUUAUGCAAUUUUGAUACUCAGCAUUGUGUGAAAUAAAAACUUUUUAAGAAAAAAAGACUAAGAUCAAGUCUAUUUCAGAGAUACCCUUAGCAAAUGAAAUGUUCAGCCUAUAUCCUCUGAGAAAGGUAGCUGAAUCACACUGUAACAGAUUUUUACUUGACUUUAGGACUUUAUUUUUGUGUUGCCAAAAAUGCAAGGUGAUGGAGCCCAGAUGCUCCAAUCUAUACAACACACUGUCUGGAAAUCUGUUGAUUUUUCCAGUUGAAUAACCAAGCCUGCAGGUGUAUGAGCUUGUGAGAGUGCCCUGAACCUGGAGGAUAUUGACAGUUGCCUUCAGAUUGUUUAUACGAGUUUUAGAUAUCUUUCAAAUAUUGGUCUCUAAGGAUAAAUGUUUCAACCUGCUUGAAAGGAUGCAGUAUCUUUACUGGUUUACUUACUGAUAUUUCUGUCUUGAGUAUCCCAUGAUUGUGAAAACUUAGUAAUAGAUAUUUUCAAAGAAGGAGGAAAAUCUUACUUGUGCCUGAAGAAUUUUAGACUAGUGCAUCUUGCAAAGAUUUUCUUGUAGGUUUUAGGAAAUAACAUUAUUGAGAGAGAUGUUUGAAGUAUGACAAGGCAGUGUUUUUCUUGCUCCAUAACUUACCUUGGAAUAAGAAAAAAUAUGUUCCUUCAGUCAGCUACCCUUGGCACGUUCUUAAUUUCUUAGAUCGUAGCUUCUAUUUGCUUCCUGGAUCUGUUACUUGUAUUGCCUUUUUGGAAUUCUCAAAGGGCUCCAAAAUUUAAUGGAUGUUUUCUUAUUUCAUGUACCUCCUUUCCAGUAAUCUGUUAAGUAGAUCACUUAAAUGUAUCUCUUAAGAAAAUAAUACUAAUUGUUGCUUUUUAAGGAUGUAAAGUCAACUGCUUCGGAGAGACUGCAGUGCCUACAACUUUCUGAGUGUGUCCACUGGCACAGUAGGGCAGAGCUCCAUGGUACCAUCUUUCAGGAUGAACAAAGACCUCUGCCCAGAAUGUCUUCUGAGUUAGGAAAUAAAGCAUGUUUGAAGUUUUGAGGAAGAAUAUUUAGACACCCUUGGGCUUUUUCUCUCUGCUGAGUGCUGUUCAUACAUUACUCAAAUCCUUUGUGCUGAAAAGCGAGCUUAGUUGCACCCUUGAAAGUGUUCUUCACUGCCAUUGUCUCCACUUUUCAAACUGUUCAACAGUUCUCAAACCUGCACCGUGAAGGCGGUUACACCCCACCAUGCUACCGCAGUUUCAAGUUUUUCUUUAGUAGCUUCUCUCUUUCUCUUCAAUUCUCCACCCUGACUUUCCUUUCACUCCUUUCCCCAGUCUCCUUUGAUCUCUGGUUUUGCUUCCCUCAUUCUCAGGUCCCCCAACUCAGCAUCUCCAUAGACACGUGGCUCUAAUCGAAUACACACUCCUCGUCUCGGUGCUCGCAUGAGCCUUGCUGCCUCGUUCCCUCUCAGCCCAGAUUCACUGCAAGGACCCUUCCCUGACUGCUCUUCCUCGGCUGACCGUCCGCAUUUGUUCCCCAGUUCCUCUGUCUGGAGGUGUGUAUUCUUACUGUGCUCUGUACUUUUCUUGCCUGGCACUAAUUGCAGUUUGUUGUUAUGUGCAUGUUUGAUUACUUGUUUAACGUCAUUUAUCCUACUUUAGGUUUCAAGCUCUGUGAGGAUGGAACGGUGUCAAUUUUCUCCUUGUUGUAUUCCUCAGCAGCUACUAUAGGGCUUUCUACGUGACUGGGGCUUACAGAUGGAUGGAUGUUGGAUAAAUGGAUGUUGGAUGGAUACAUGCAUGCAUGCAUGGUUCAUCUUGGUUGAUUUCAAGGAGGAAAUAUGGUGAUGUGUACGGCUAUAACACAUGGGCUUGAUUACCAGCUUCAUCUCUUAGCUGUGUGAUCUUGAGCAAGUGGAUUAAGCUUGAAAAUGAAAAAAAAAAAUAGAAUGAUUUUGAGGAACAAAUGAGAUCAUUCAAAUAAAGCAUUCAGUAAAGUACCUAGCAUAUACUAAAUUAUCUAAUAGUAACUAAGAUAAAAUAAAACUAUCUUUUCAGGACUAUCUGGUUAGAACAAGCAAAAACUCUCAAGUAUUGCUAUUAAACUAAUGUAAAGUGUGCUGCUUGCAUGCUAAAUUGCUUCAGUUGUGUCCAACUCUUUGAGAACUUGUGGACUGUUGCCUGCCAGACUGCUCUGUCCGUG
ensembl:lncRNA